UCCAGGGUAGCUUAGUGGACAUGGCAUCUGCCCGGUAAGCGGAACACUGUGGGUUCGAUUCCCAUCCCUGAAA